rnacentral:lncRNA from 1 species
AAUAAUAAUGAGAUAAUAAUAGUCUAAAAGAUAGAUAAAACAUCAAUAACCAUCCCAUGACCUAGUAGUGUUGGUACAAGAGCUACCAACAAAAAAGGCAUAACUACUAAAAUAGUCAAAUACAAAUCUAUAUCAAAGAGUAAAAGACUGGACAUAAAUAAUAUAAGAAAAAAGGGCUACGCUUACUCCAAGAUCUCACCCU